rnacentral:rRNA from 1 species
AGCAGCCGCGGUAAUUCCAGCUCCAAUAGCGUAUAUUAAAGUUGUUGCAGUUAAAAAGCUCGUAGUUGAAUUUCGGGAUCAAUAUGUUGGUCGUGCCUUGGUACGUACUAGUUUAUUGGUUUCUUCCUUCUGACGAACCAUGAUGUCAUUAAUUUGGUGUCUUGGGGAAUCAGGACUGUUACUUUGAAAAAUUAGAGUGUUUAAAGCAGGCUCACGCUUGAAUACAUUAGCAUGGAAUAAUGAAAUAGGACGUUUUGAUUCUAUUUUGUUGGUUUCUAGGAUCGACGUAAUGAUUAAUAGGGAUAGUUGGGGGCAUUAGUAUUCAAUUGUCAGAGGUGAAAUUCUUGGAUUUAUUGAAGACUAACUACUGCGAAAGCAUUUGCCAAGGAUGUUUUCAUUAAUCAAGAACGAAAGUUAGGGGAUCGAAGACGAUCAGAUACCGUCGUAGUC